UACGAAGGGGACUAGCGUUGUUCGGAUUUACUGGGCGUAAAGCGCGCGUAGGCGGAUCGCUAAGUCAGGGGUGAAAUCCCAAGGCUCAACCUUGGAACUGCCUUUGAUACUGACGAUCUGGAGAUCGGGAGAGGUGAGUGGAAUUCCGAGUGUAGAGGUGAAAUUCGUAGAUAUUCGGAGGAACACCAGAAGCGAAGGCGGCUCACUGGCCCGAUACGUGACGCUGAGG
rnacentral:rRNA from 1 species